GUGGGGUGAGAGAGCUGCCCUAAGGAACUCCAGGCCCAAAAGAGAGAGCAAGUGGGAUUAGCUGCUUAUUGUGUAAACUUAGAAAGGGAAAACAGAAUUAAAGCUUCACUGAGAAGAUGAACCUGCCGAUGAAGUGUGCAGAGAACUUUGGCUGCACAAGUUAAGAGGAAGAGGCUGAGUCUCAGCUCAGAGAGCGCUGGUAAUGCCAAGCACAGCAGAGCUGCCAGAGGGAUCUACUUGGAAUCUGGGGAGGCCCUGGGGAGACUAACUGGCUGUUAAUCUGGUACAAUUUAAAGAGAGGCAAAGUAAAUGAUAAGUGGGGCAAUCAUGUGAAAAGCCUGCUGCCUUACAGGAUGGACUCCAGCUGCUCAGUGGGACGGGCUGUUGGGGGCUGGGUUUUGGGAGGGCAAGAGGGCCCCAGAUGGAGUGAUGGACACUCUAACUCACUACUCAGCCAUGCAAUACAGUCCAGAUUGUUCAACAACUCUGAGAAUAAAUGCUCUUUUUAAAAAAAUUGGUGUCAAACCUACUGUACUGGGUUGAUGUGAAAUUGAAAUUGAAAUAAGUUGUAUAUAAAAUGUCUGGCACAUAGUAGUGAUCAAUAAAUAUUAAUCCCUUCCCCAGACCAAUGUUGUAUUUCCAUUUCCUGGGCGUAUGCCUCAUUGUCUAAAUCAAUGUUUUAUUCACUCAUACAUCAAAGAUAAUGGAAACACUUAUAUUUUAGAAAGAACUUACUAUACAUUUUGUAUUCUUUUUGGUAAAUUGAAUAAACACUCUUCAGAGAUAUAUAAACCUAGAUUUCCUGAUAGACUUUGCAUUAGAACAUUGGUGGAAGAGAAUGCACCAGAAAAUCUCCUCUUUAUUUUUAGGUGCCCACUUCUGGGCUUUAGUCCUCCAACCCUA
rnacentral:lncRNA from 1 species